rnacentral:lncRNA from 1 species
GUUCCACUUGUGAAAAGCAAUUAUUCCAGGCUUCUCUUGGAAGCGUUUUUUUUGGGCCCCAGUGGUAGAAACCUGAAAUGGGCAAAAACCAAUGCACAAAAUGAGCCCCAUCACUCUCAGCUUGUGUAAGGGGCACCCGGAGGUCUCUAAUUAUACCCCUCAGGAAGACUCACAUGGUGUGCUGGGGUUGGACUGGAUGUUCUUGGAGGUCUUCCCCAACCUCAGUGCUUCUGUGAUUCUAUGGAAAUGGCAGCAGAAUGCAUACAUGUGCUGGGGCUGCCGCUGGGAGCAGCUGCUCAGGCACGUGUGAGCACAGUGCAUAUGUGUGUGCACACGUGUGUGCUCGUGGCCCCUUCGCUCUGUGCCGUGGCACAGCAUCACUCCCACAUCCAACCCAGACUGGAAACUACCUUGGCAAAAUCAUCCUGGAGGAGGCUUUUAGCAGCGUGCAGCAUGGAACGCAUCCAGCACUGUGGUUUUCCAAGGUAACAGCCGAAGAAAAGGAAAAAAAAAAAAGGCUGGAGGAAGGGAUGAGGCAGCGGGUGUCAGACAGCGGACGGUGUUCAUUGAGACACAACCACCAAGACUCAUAAAAAGCCUCAGGAAAAGAGACCCCCUUCCUCUGUGCUCUGUGCAAAGGAUCAUCUGAAUUAACGUGAGCUCCUUGGCUAUUAAACGGAAAUUUUAAAUGGGAAGAAAAUUCUGCACUGGCUGCUAAAUUGUGUGUCAGCAGAAAGGGCGAAAAAGCAACGUGUGUCAUUCCUAUUAUCAUCUUGAAAUCCAUCUUCCCUCUACAUGCCAUGACAGUGGAUAAUCCCUGGUCUUUCACACAGCACGUGACAGGCGGGUGCCCAGCGAUUUAAUGCCUACCAACGCUCUUCAUGGCAGCUGCUGCUUUAAAUGGAAUUCCAGCACAAGUUGUGGCUUCUGCUGCCUGAGCCUCUUUCCCUUUCCCUUCUCUUUCUCCAUGCAGAAAAAAUGGCACCCACUGACAUUCAUCGACAGUUGCUGAACAGUUAUGGAGGCCCAACAGUGGAUGUGAGCACAGUGCUGCUGUGGGUGGUGCAUUUCAGCAGUGACAGUGGAUCACCUCGACUGGUGCAGAUUUAUCCAACGUGGCAUGCAGGCUCUAGUUCACUGCUGGCCAAAAAGCACAGCCAGUGGUGGUGUCUAUGUUGAAAAACAGUGCUUUGUGGCUGAGAAUUUGCUCUGUCUGUUAGUAUUAUUGUGCUCUUUGUAUCUGUUGUAUUUUCUGCGGAAAUAAAUAGGAG